rnacentral:rRNA from 1 species
GGUCAAGCUACAAAGGGCGCAUGGUGAAUGCCUUGGCACUAGGAGCCGAAGAAGGACGCGAUAAGCUGCGAUAAGCCUUGGGUAGCCGCAAAUAGGCUGAGAUCCAGGGAUUUCCGAAUGAGGAAACUCACAUGGGUAACCCCAUGUAUCAUGCACUGAAUACAUAGGUGUAUGAGGGUAAACCCGGGGAACUGAAACAUCUAAGUACCCGGAGGAAGAGAAAGAAAAAUCGAUUUCCUAAGUAGCGGCGAGCGAACGGGAAAGAGCCCAAACCAGAAACUUGUUUCUGGGGUUGUGGAUAGAUCAUAAAAGAAGAGGUAUCUUAAUCGAAGAGGGCUGGAACGCCCUACCAUAGAAGGUAAUAGUCCUGUAGAUAAAAAGAGAAAACUUCGAGAUCUAAUCCAGAGUACCACGAGACACGUGAAACCUUGUGGGAAGCAGGGAGGACCACCUCCCAAGGCUAAAUACUACCUAGUGACCGAUAGUGAAGCAGUACCGUGAGGGAAAGGUGAAAAGAACCCCGGAAGGGGAGUGAAAUAGAACCUGAAACCGUGUGCCUACAACCGAUCGGAGCACGUUAAAGUGUGACGAUGUGCUUUUUGUAGAACGAGCCAGCGAGUUACGCUAUGUAGCAAGGUUAAGUACUUAAGGUAUGGAGCCGAAGGGA